rnacentral:rRNA from 1 species
UCCAGACUCCUACGGGAGGCAGCAGUGGGGAAUAUUGCACAAUGGGGGAAACCCUGAUGCAGCGACGCCGCGUGAGUGAAGAAGUAUUUCGGUAUGUAAAGCUCUAUCAGCAGGGAAGAAAAUGACGGUACCUGACUAAGAAGCCCCGGCUAACUACGUACCAGCAGCCGCGGUAAUACGUAGGGGGCAAGCGUUAUCCGGAUUUACUGGGUGUAAAGGGAGCGUAGACGGCAUGGCAAGUCAGAUGUGAAAGCCCGGGGCUCAACCCCGGGACUGCAUUUGAAACUGUCAGGCUGGAGUGCAGGAGAGGUAAGUGGAAUUCCUAGUGUAGCGGUGAAAUGCGUAGAUAUUAGGAGGAACACCAGUGGCGAAGGCGGCCUGCUGGACUGCAACUGACGUUGAGGCUCGAAGGCGUGGGGAGCAAACAGGAUUAGAUACCCGCGUA